CCCUAUGGGGCGCAGCCGCACUGUACCGAUGGUUGACAAGAAAUCUCACCUUCGAUGACGGUACUAAAGCAUCCUUUGAAGGCCAGGGCGGUCAGGUCUGGGGUUAUUUUGCCCUCUCCGUGCUACUGGGGUAUGUCCCUCUAUUGUUUAGAACAGCUGAAAAUGCCGAGACUAUAUCCUACAUUUCUCUUGGCUUUUCCAUUCUCAUUCUUCCGAUCAGUGCUGCUAUCGGAAUAAGAAUCAUGCGUUGGCUCUUUGCGAAUAUAAAAUUCACUGAUGGUACAAAUCUCAAUUUUAAAGGGAGUUAUGCCCCCUACCUGGGAUGGCUUCUAUUGAACAGUCUUUCAGUAUUCACCAUCAUUGGCGGGAGAGC
rnacentral:rRNA from 1 species